rnacentral:lncRNA from 1 species
AAGUGCUCGUGACCUUUCAAGCUCUUCUACUUCCUCUCUUGUUCUUUAUGAAUUGGUCAUUAUUUACCAGAUAUUUAGUGAUGAACUCCCACUUUCCCUAGGCUGUAAGGCAUGGCCAUCACAAACAGCUUGCCAAGUCUUCUGAGCUGUGCUUCCAGUGCAGCACAACUGGGAAGGUCAGCUGUGAGCAACAGGAAAAAUGUACGAAGUCCAGAAAGGUGAAGGAGGUUCGUACUGUCUGACGUUGGGCUGUCUUGAACUCAUCCAGCAAAACAUUUGAAAGUGCUUCCACAUCAAAAAAAGCCCCGUAGAACUGCCAGGAUGGCUGGUAGAUAAACCGAGUGGCUUAUGGAUGGAAAUGAGCCUGCUGCAGUCAACGGGACUCAACUCGAUGGGAGCAUACAGACAUAAAAGUUUCUCAGAGACAUGUUUGAACAACCGCAUUAAAUCGGUUGCCCAGUAGGCUUUCUUUCAUAUGUCUGGAGAGCAGCAAGUGUAGUAAUUGUAUAUAGGGAAGGAGAAGUGGCAGCUACAAGAGCAGUAUAACAUGAAAAGGGUGAUAAGCUUUAAAACACUUAAAAAUAUUUUUAUUUUAUUUUAGUAAAAGAAAACGAAAGUGUGGACUAAGCUGAUAAUACUAGGAAAUCAAACACGAGUCUGCUGCAGUUAACUAUGUUGGAAAAUCUCUUACCCUUGUUUGAUAAGAGCUGAUCUCUCAGGCAAUGAGAGUGCCAUACAUACUUCAAAUAGCAGAAAACAUUUGGUGUAUGACCCUCUAAAAAUAUUAGUUAGGCAGAGGAAAAGAGAAGGUGGGGAUUGGUAUAAGCAGUGUAGAGAACAUGCCAACUUCAGGAAAUUCUGUUUGGAUCUUGAGACUGAUCUUACUUAGCAAUAACCAUGCAAAAGUUUCACUAGAACAUGUUCCAAAAUUACAGCUUUUAUACUAAUAAAAACUGCUGAUGAGGUUACCAAUUGCCCCUGCUAUAACACGCCUGUAACCUCUCUGCAGGCCCACAGGUAAGAUCUUACACUGUCCUCACACUGGUACAGUUUGACAAAUGCUUCUGGCUUAAGCAGUCUCUGGUCUUUAUUUUCCUAUUUCUACCCCCAGUUCGUUGCCUAUACCAACUCUCAGCGUGCCAAAAUAACCAUUUGUGCGCAGUGUGGUGAAACAGAGCUGGGAACAUCUGUAAGUUAAAAUUAAACCUAUUUUGGUGGGUGGUUUUCUUUUGGGAUGGAUACGCAGGGAGGCAGAACAUCAAAGAGACAAGGCCACUUAGCAGCGCACCUUAUGUCUGUGCUGAAACAUGCAGGUCCUCUUCCCUUGAUGCUGGACCAGGAACUGGAAAAGGUGAUUCAUCCACCAGUUAUCUGCUGCUGGUUUCCAGGAGAAAGAGAGAAAGAAAGUGAUCCCUUAGCUCUCAACUCCAAUCCAGUGAAAUUAAUCUAGCAAAUAACAUAAACUGACAACUCUGAAAUAUCAAAAAGAAAACAGUUUGAUUGCUUAAUUAACUGCCUGAUCACAACUUUCCAACAAAAACACUUCAUUUGUAGGCUACAUCUACAGGCAAGCUACAAUUCUUUAGAGAAAAUCACACAAAAGCUGCCCUCCCUUGCACAAAAUCACACAGAGCUUGCUGUACAUGUAUCAGAAAUGCUAAGUCAUGGCCU